rnacentral:rRNA from 1 species
GAUGAACGCUGACAGAAUGCUUAACACAUGCAAGUCUUUGGCGAAGCUGUGCUCGCCCAGCCUAGCCAAGGCGGACGGGUGAGUAACGCGUAAGGAACUUGCCCUGCAGUCAGGGAUAACAGACGGAAACGACUGAUAAGACCUGGUAAAGUCAGGCGGACUCAUGUCCAGCCUGAUGAAAAGAGAUGCUGCAGGAGAGCCUUGCGUCCUAUUAGCUUGUUGGUGGGGUAACGGCCCACCAAGGCGAUGAUAGGUAGCCGGCCGGAGAGGGUGGACGGCCACAAGGGGACUGGGAUACGGCCCUUACUCCUACGGGAGGCAGCAGUGGGGAAUAUUGGACAAUGGGGGCAACCCUGAUCCAGCAAUUCUGUGUGCACGAUGAAGGUUUUCGGAUUGUAAAGUGCUUUCAGCAGGGAAGAAAAAAAUGACGGUACCUGCAGAAGAAGCGACGGCUAAAUACGUG